ACAGGUAGAGUAUGUGUUCACUUCGGCAGGACAUAUACAGAGAAGAUUAGCAUAGCCCCUGCACAGGGAUGACACGCAAAUUCAUGAACCAUUCCAUAUUUUU